AUUAACUAAUUAUAUACUUUAAUAUCAGUCCAUCAAAGUAAGAUGCAUUUAUAUAAUAUUUUUACACAACAUGUUAAAAAUUCAGGUAGUUGCGUGAUUUGGGUGACAAACUUAAACAAAAAAAGCACUUUGGCCCACAGCCUAAAACAGGGAAAUUAUAGACCAGGAGAUGUUAUAGCAGUGCAUCUGGAAAGCAGUAACAGGAUCGGUCAAAGCCAGCAUGGAUUUAUGAAGGGGAAAUCUUCAGGUGUACACUUGCUGCAUAUAUACUAGUUGUGGCUGCUGGCCAGACAUUUCAACAGUGUUUCAUCAGCAAGUAAUAAUUCUCAGCAGGAGGUCCUAUAAUUGCAUUGUUGAUUGUGGUAUUUGUUGCGUUAGAUUGUAUUGAGUUGGAUUGCUCCAAAGUUACAUCAGGGGCAAGCAAGACAGACAGGAGCAAAGAUCGUAGAGGGACAAGAUAGACCACUCCUCGAAAAACGCGUAGUAUGACGUGUGUGACCGUCGACGCCAUAUUGUUAAGCAUUUAUUGGGCUGUAAUGGCGUCCUCAGCUAAAUCUACAUCUCACUGCUCCGCUAUCAACUGUUCUAAUCGUAAAUCUAAACGACCAGAGCUGUCAUUCUUUAGGUUCCCCAAUAAAAAAGAAAGAUGUCAACAGUGGGUCCAGAAUACUCAUCGACAAGAUCUCCUGCACCGAACUGCAGAGUAUUUGUCAAAUAACUGCCGUCUUAUGUACAUUGUGUGAAAUUGUGAUUUGUUAACUGCACAAAACUAAUGCAAAUGGCGAUACAUGCCUGCAUUUGGCCCAUACCCCUCUAAACCUGUCCUAACCAUCAAAUAACCUAACAGAACUGUCAUGAGGAAAGAUUUAAAAGACUAGGCUUGUAUUCACUGGAGUUUAGAAGGAUGAGGGGGAUCUUAUCAUAUUGUUUACAGUGUACUAUGUUUACAGAUUCUGUUGUGCUGCUGAAAGUAAGAAUUUAAUUGUUCUAUCUGGGACAAGCUAGAUGCAGGAAAAUUGUUCUACAUGACAAUAAAACCCUCUUGUUAGAUGCAAGGGGAUCUUAUAGAAACAUCUAAAUGAAUAAAAGGACUGAACAAGCUAGAUACAGGAAAAAUGUUCCCAAUGUUGGGCGAGUCCAGAACCAGGGGCCACAGUCUUAGAACAAAGGGGAGGCCAUUUAAGACUGAGGUGAGAAAAAACUUUUUCACCCAGAGAGUUGUGAAUUUGUGGAAUUCCCUGCCACAGAGGGCAGUGGAGGCCAAAUCACUGGGUGGAUUUAAGAGAGAGUUAGAUAGAUCUCUAGGGGCUAGUGGAAUCAAGGGGUAUGGGGAGAAGGCAGGCAUGGGUUAUCGAUUGGGGCUGAUCAGCCAUGAUCACAAUGAAUGGCGGUGUUGGGUCGAAGUGCCAAAUGGCCUCCUCCUGCACCUAUUUUCUAUAUUUCUAAAACACUCAUCCAGCAAUCCUCGAGCCCACCAGCUCAUCCCGUAGUCAAUUCAUCAGCUUUUCCAUAAGAACUUUCAUCAGUUCUUGCAAAAGAAUGACAAUCAGCCAAUCUCGAUUACCCUCAGCCCAUCAAGCAGUCCCUUAAUUCGCACAGAAGUCUGAACUAUUGAAUGCUCACUGCAUCUCUUUCCAUGUCAGCAAGUUAAUAUCCAGCUGCAUAUGAACCAUGUGAAAAAUGAAUAAAUAGAUGCAUGUGGUGCAGUGAUUUGUGCAGCACUAUAGGCCUGGAGACCAAGAGGAGUUUACCAUUGAACGGAGUUUGAACGGGGGGCUUGAGGCCCCCGACCGAGGAAGAACAAAAGGAAGGGACUUGAACUUUAUUUCGCCUUCCAUCACAGUGAGGAAUGUGUAGGAGUCACUUUGGUGAAUGUCCGUAUUAAAAUGUGUUUUUGAGUGCUGUUGCUUUUAAUUGUAUGACUGACCUGGCCAAUGAAAUUCCUCGUAUAUUGCAAAACAUACUUGGAAAAUAAAAUCUGAUUAUGAUUCUGAAAA